AAAAGGACGAUCUGAACGACAGAGGGAACAAGGACAUAAACAGAACCAGAUAAUGUGCGGACAGAAGUUCAGACACAGUUCUCAGUUAAAAUGAAACUUAAAUGUGAAGCAGCAUCAGCAUUUCUGACCACUUUGGGGUAGCAGAAGAAGCUUUAAAUUAAACAUUGAUAUAUUAUCACAUUAGAAAGUUGUUGUGGCCCGUGUAAAGAUCCAGCAGACACAGAGCAACAUCAGCAUUCAUUUGAAGUCAUGUUUCAGGCCACCAGACACAUGAAGAUGAUGUCCCCAUUUGUAAAUCCUACCUACAAAGCUCUGACUGACCCAGCUGAUUCACUACCGGGGAACCCGCUGUGAUGAACAGGUCUGGAGCCAGGCUAGAUCUCUGUCAUAAACGCCUCGAUCUGCUGAUGGAGAGAGAUCUGAGACGAUGCAGGAGGAACCACUGGGUCUCCCAAAGCCUUUCGCAGCUCCGCACGUCUCUAUCUGUCGGCCUACUGCUGAUAUCCUCUUCAGCGUCCAU